rnacentral:rRNA from 1 species
AUCAGUGGCCAUAGCAAAGGGGAUCACCUGAUACCAUUCCAAACUCAGUAGUUAAGCCCUUUAGCGCCGAAGAUACCAGAGAUGGGAAAAUAGGGAGCUGCUUUUU